rnacentral:rRNA from 1 species
GACGUAGGGCGCGAGCGUUGUCCGGAUUUAUUGGGCGUAAAGAGCUCGUAGGCGGCUUGUCGCGUCGAAUGUGAAAUCUCAGGGCUCAACUCUGACAUUGCAUUCGAUACGGGCAGGCUCGAGUUCGGUAGGGGAGACUGGAAUUCCUGGUGUAGCGGUGAAAUGCGCAGAUAUCAGGAGGAACACCAGUGGCGAAGGCGAUCACCUGGGGUUGUUCUGACGCUGAGGAGCGAAAGCUAGGGGAGCAAACGGG